GCGCUGCCUUUGAGCUCCCAUUGUGCCUGCCCGGUGGCGCUGAGGGUUGAGGGUUAGCUUCACAGUGUGCUCAAGCUUACCUAGGGCGGCCUGGCUAUCGUGGGCGGUCCUUUUAAAAGAGCCUGACGU